CCCCAAUGUUAUCUGGCUAGGAGAAUAUGUGAACCAACACUAGAAUACCAACAGCAGGAAGAAAAUCAACAAUGAUCCAUGCCUUUUUUUUUGUUUACUUGAACAUGCACAUACAUCAUUUGAACACGGAGAAAAGCGGAAGUUACCAAAUCUUAUAUCAAUGCAAGUGUGUCCUCAAUACAAUGCCAACAGCCAGCCAAAUAAUGAUGCCUUGCACUUUGAUUCAGAAGGAAAGACCAAGAACCGCAGUAGCCCAGGCUGAUAGGGGGUACCUAUGCAAGCUUUCUGUAAUGGACAGUGUUACGAACUACUGUCAUACUAUUCCAAUGAGAUAUAACUAGCCCGGAACAAAAAUUUCAUGUCAUACUGCAAUGUAUCCAACUCGCAACUUAUUAAAUAUUUUUAUUUUUUGUAUAAACUCAUUUGGGUCUCCAUCAUGUACUGCUGUUGUACUUUGAAGACCGCAAUUAUAGAAAAAUACGAGAUCAACUACUCAGUUUGUCCACUUAAAGCUGCUUCCUCUUCCUCAC
rnacentral:lncRNA from 1 species